rnacentral:rRNA from 1 species
GAUCAUGGCUCAGGAUGAACGCUGGCGGCGUGCCUAAUACAUGCAAGUAGAACGCUGAAGCUUGGUGCUUGCACCGAGCGGAUGAGUUGCGAACGGGUGAGUAACACGUGACCGACCUGCCCCCCGCCCAGGGACAGCCCCCCGAAAGGGGGAUUAAUACCUGGUACUCCGGAAGCGGCGCAUGCCGCCCCCGGGAAAGCUCAGGCGGCGGGGGAUGGGGUCGCGGCCCAUCAGGUAGACGGCGGGGCAGAGG